UACGUAGGGGGCAAGCGUUGUCCGGAUUUAUUGGGCGUAAAGAGCGUGUAGGCGGCCAGGUAGGUCAGCUGUGAAAACUCGAGGCUCAACCUCGAGAGGUCGGUGGAAACCGUCUGGCUAGAGUCCGGAAGAGGAGAGUGGAAUUCCAGGUGUAGCGGUGAAAUGCGUAGAUAUCUGGAGGAAUACCGGUGGCGAAGGCGGCAUCCUGGACCGGCAUUGACGCUGAUGAGCGAAAGCUAGGGGAGCAAACGGG
rnacentral:rRNA from 1 species